GGGGUUGUGGCUCAAUGGUAUAGAGCACGUGCCUUCCAUGUGUGAGAUGCUGGGUUCAAUCCUCAGCACCA
rnacentral:tRNA from 1 species